GGUCAAGUUCAAUAAUGACGAUUUUGACUUUUACCGUUCAGGAGUUAUGGUUCUUGAAAGAUCGUAAAAUGGCGUUUCCAUUCACGUUGUUGCAUUUACUCAUGAACCAUUCAAUCUAAGCUUUUCAAAUUUUAAUAUGUUGAUACUGAUGACAAAAUGGAGGUCAAAUUUGAUAUUGACGAUUUUCACUUUCACCAUUCAUCAGUAAUGGUUCUUGUGAUAUUGCCAGGACACAAAUAAAUGUUAAUAAAUCCGGUUUGCUGUCAUUGUGACAGCCUCUUGUU
rnacentral:lncRNA from 1 species